rnacentral:rRNA from 1 species
UAUGCUAAUGAAAUUUAAUCUUUAUUUUUGUUGGGGCAUGAAGUUUUUUUGUUGGUUUUAUGAAUUUUAGGUAAAAUUAAAAUUUAUAUUUAGAGGUUUUUAUGUCAUUAAGAUUUUUGAAGGCGAAUUAGAUUAGUACCUAAUUAGUGAAAAAUUAAAUGUUCAGGAGUAAAGUGGUAUUUAAACUGAAAGAAUAUUGGCAGAUUUUCUAAAUUAUCUUUGGAGGUUGAGUGAUAAUUGAGAACCCUCAUUAACUACUUGGUUUUUUGGCUUAUGUAUGAUCGUUUAUUUUAAGCUUAAGGUUUAGGAUUUUAGGUUUUGACUGUAAAAAUAGAUAUAUAUUUAGUUUAUGAUUAAGUUAAUUUGACCUACAAUAUUUUGAAUUGUGUGGAUUAUUAAAUUAGUAUUAGUAUGAAAUUGUAAAAGACAGUAAGAAAGUUUUUAUAUCUUUUUGAAGAGUAUUUAGAAAUGGC